rnacentral:rRNA from 1 species
CAGUCGAACGCGAAAGUUCCCUUCGGGGAACAAGUAGAGUGGCGCACGGGUGAGUAACACGUAGGUAAUCUACCUUUGGAUUGGGAAUAACACCGAGAAAUCGGUGCUAAUACCGAAUAAUGCAGCGGCACCUAAUGGUGACAGUUGUUAAAGCGGGGGAUCGCAAGACCUCGCGUCUAAAGAGGAGCCUGCGGCGGAUUAGCUAGUUGGUAAGGUAACGGCUUACCAAGGCGAUGAUCCGUAGCCGGCCUGAGAGGGCGGUCGGCCACACUGACACUGACAUACGGGUCAGACUCCUACGGGAGGCAGCAGUCGGGAAUUUUGGGCAAUGGGCGAAAGCCUGACCCAGCAACGCCGCGUGAAGGAUGAAAUCCCUCGGGAUGUAAACUUCGCAAGAACGGGAAGAAUAAGUCGGUGCUAACACCAUCGGCGAUGACGGUACUGUUUGUAAGCUCCGGCUAACUCCGUGCCAGCAGCCGCGGUAAUACGGGGGGAGCAAGCGUUGUUCGGAUUUACUGGGCGUAAAGGGCGCGUAGGCGGCCACCGCAAGUCGACUGUGAAAUCUCCGGGCUUAACUCGGAAAGGUCAGCCGAUACUGCGGGGCUAGAGUGCAGAAGGGGCAACUGGAAUUCUCGGUGUAGCGGUGAAAUGCGUAGAUAUCGAGAGGAACACCUGCGGCGAAGGCGGGUUGCUGGGCUGACACUGACGCUGAUUGUGCGAAAGCUAGGGGAGCGAACGGGAUUAGAUACCCCGGUAGUCCUAGCCUUAAACGAUGAAUGCUUGGUGUCUGGGGGUUUUAUAGUCCCCGGGUGCCGUCGCUAACGCUUUAAGCAUU